GACGAACGCUAGCGGCGCGCUUAACACAUGCAAGUCGAGCGGAAAGGCCCUUCGGGGUACUCGAGCGGCGAACGGGUGAGUAACACGUGAGCAACCUGCCCUUGGCUUUGGGAUAACCCCGGAAAACCGGGGCUAAUACCGAAUACCCACGCACCGCCGCAUGACGGUGCGUGAAAAGUUUUUCGGCUGAGGAUGGGCUCGCGGCCUAUCAGCUAGUUGGUGGGGUAACGGCCCACCAAGGCUUCGACGGGUAGCCGGCCUGAGAGGGCGACCGGCCACACUGGGACUGAGAUACGGCCCAGACUCCUACGGGAGGCAGCAGUGGGGAAUAUUGCACAAUGGGCGAAAGCCUGAUGCAGCGACGCCGCGUGAGGGAAGACGGCCUUCGGGUUGUAAACCUCUUUCGGCAGGGACGAAGCGAAAGUGACGGUACCUGAAGAAGAAGCGCCGGCCAACUACGUGCCAGCAGCCGCGGUAAGACGUAGGGCGCAAGCGUUGUCCGGAUUUAUUGGGCGUAAAGAGCUCGUAGGCGGCCUGUCGCGUCGACUGUGAAAACCCGCGGCUUAACUGCGGGGACUGCAGUCGAUACGGGCAGGCUAGAGUUCGGUAGGGGAGACUGGAAUUCCUGGUGUAGCGGUGAAAUGCGCAGAUAUCAGGAGGAACACCGGUGGCGAAGGCGGGUCUCUGGGCCGAUACUGACGCUGAGGAGCGAAAGCGUGGGGAGCGAACAGGAUUAGAUACCCUGGUAGUCCCACGCUGUAAACGUUGGGCGCUAGGUGUGGGGGGCCUCUCCGGUCCUCUGUGCCGCAGCUAACGCAUUAAGUGCCCCGCCUGGGGAGUACGGCCGCAAGGCUAAAACUCAAAGGAAUUGACGGGGGCCCGCACAAGCGGCGGAGCAUGCGGAUUAAUUCGAUGCAACGCGAAGAACCUUACCUGGGUUUGACAUGGCGGCUAAAGCCACAGAGAUGUGGUGUCCUUCGGGGGCCGUCACAGGUGGUGCAUGGCUGUCGUCAGCUCGUGUCGUGAGAUGUUGGGUUAAGUCCCGCAACGAGCGCAACCCUCGUUCCAUGUUGCCAGCGGGUAAUGCCGGGGACUCAUGGGAGACUGCCGGGGUCAACUCGGAGGAAGGUGGGGAUGACGUCAAGUCAUCAUGCCCCUUAUGUCCAGGGCUUCACGCAUGCUACAAUGGCCGGUACAAAGGGCUGCGAUACCGCAAGGUGGAGCGAAUCCCAAAAAGCCGGUCUCAGUUCGGAUCGGGGUCUGCAACUCGACCCCGUGAAGUCGGAGUCGCUAGUAAUCGCAGAUCAGCAAUGCUGCGGUGAAUACGUUCCCGGGCCUUGUCC
rnacentral:rRNA from 1 species